ACCUGAGCAAAUUAAUUGUUGGCUCGGUCAUUUUAAACCUGAUUUCCAGCCCUGCUAAUUAAACCCCACGCACAUGAUACCCAUAGAUAUAUGCACAGAUUUCUCCGCAGUUUCCUCCGCAGACUCUUAUAGCUUCUCCUCCUCAUACUCUCUUUAAUCGUAAAUCCAUGCUCAUGUAAAUGAAUUAGCAUAUAAGAUGAUUAUAUGAUCACCGAUACUCUUAUCAAAUUAGGGGUUUUUGCUUCAAUUUAGGGGUUUCCAAUUUAAUUGUCCCAGUCUGUCAAUCGACGAAAACUUCCGAUGAGGACUACAAAGGUGCGUCUAAAAGUGGAAAUGUGAACUAGUGCAUAGACAAGGGAGACGCAUCCAAGUAUGCAACACACUAAUCCUCGUCAUCAACUUCUCUGGACGCACCAAUUACCUCAUUCUGCUUGCUUGCUCGGCUCCUUUCGUCUUCCGACCGGAUGGAUGAACUGUUUUGCUAUUAUACUAAUCAAGAAGCCCCUCCAGUUGUGUAAUCAUAUUUAAUUCCUGUCUGGAGGUCUUGGCAUUAUCUUUCCGAAGCAGACGACGACAACUCAAAAAAUGUGCUCAGGCCAAUGAAAGUAAUAAAAAAUUGAGACUUUAGAUGACGUUGAGUAGUGAAUAUUUGGAGGUCUCACUGGGAAUAACUGGAAUGACAGUCCAAGUUAGCAAUCUUUCUUCUGAAGACUAGAUAGGGCUGAGAGCUACAAUUCUGAUUAUGGCAAUUCUGGUGGCAGAUUUAAUUUGGAUAACAGAUCAGAAAUUUUUGAUGGCUUGGAUGAGAGUUUUAACACCUUGUCAGAUGGAAUGGAUGAUAAGUUAAAAGAAGCUGCCACUUGCUACAGUGCUCCUGAAAUUUUGAAGAUCCAGAAUAUGAGUACAGGUCGGACGUAAACUGGAGUCGAAUUGGGGACACUUAUGAACUCAGAGUAUAAAUGAUAAACAAAGGCAGGUUUCUUUCUUGAUUUCAAAACUUUUUUAUUGCUGCAACGGAAGGCAUGCAUGCAUGAUGCACCUGUAUAUAAGCUUUUUAUCACAUCUCUUAGCUAGAUCACUUAAUCUACUGGUUUCAUUUCCUAUAGUUGGCCUAUAUAACUAGACUACAACCAAAAACCUUAAUCAUGCAGACAAACACAUCUAUAUAUAUAUAUAAAGAGGUUUAAAGAUACUAUUUCUAAUCUUUUCAUAUAAAUUUUACAUGGCAUACAUAACAUAUAUUUAUACAGGAAAUAGACUUUUUUUUCUUCCUAAAAAACACAUGUUUAGCUCAUUGCAUAUGAGUGACCAAAUAAUGAUAGAAAUGAUAAAUAAAAAUGUAUAUUUGUAUAUAGCAGACUAAUACAUAAAAGUGAUAUCUUAUUUGGCAUCCUAUGCUAACCGUAUUUAGGCAUUAAUAAAUUUUGCUUGGAGAGUUUUAUUAUUCUCUUAAAUAGAGUAAAGAUCAUUGCAACCUGUAGCAUAGAUAUAUGAAUUCAUACAUGUUUAUUUUUGGCAAUAUUAAUAACCUUGAAUUGCCAACCUUUGUUUCAUACAUUUAAGGAGCCUGUGUUUUUUGAGAGCUUUAAUCAGCUGAGUUAACGCAUAAGUUUACUAAUUUGAAAGUCAAGUUUAAUUCAAAAAGUAUUUACACCAAAUCACUUGGUUUGUAUGAGUUGUGGUUGAUCGUUAGUUUAGGCAUACCUGAAGGUGAUGUAUUCUACUUGGGAGCAUCGACUACAGAGCUCCGCAGUUUGCUGCCAGCUCUUUCUAAAAUUCUGAUAUCUCUGCACUAAUAUCAGCAAAGUCUGGACUUCUCUAAACUGUCUUAUGUGGCUCCGUUUUUUAAGGGAACAUCAAUUAAGUGGUUUUGUCCCUCAAACUUAGAUUGAUUAAAAAAUUGGUGACAAAUCGACAUAUUCCACUAUUUAUUUCAGCUACUAAAGAUAUUAGUGCAAGAAACAUAAGUAGUUCCAUGUCCAAGAAAGCAGGUGAUAAUCAUGAGAAAAUGGAGCGUCGGAGCUUUAAGGACUUCUUGGAACACUCCAAGCAUUUGCUCACAUCAUCUGACAGUGGCCCGCUAAGAUUUCCCUGUUCGAGUGCUCUUCCACACCGGAAAACUGUCCUCUUUUGCUCUCUUUACCAGGUCUUGAUGAGUUGGACUUGGACUUUCUUUGAAAUAUCAAAGGCUUGGACAGUAAGUUCAUUAGUACUCUCAAGUCUGCUCGGUACAAAUCGGGGAUUUGAACUUUAGUGAGACGUCUAGGGCUCAAGAUCCGUGGAGGCUAUUUAAAUUUGUAAAUUACCAUUUCCAAAUUGUUUAAGAAUGCUAUUGCCAAAUGCCAACGGUUAAUUUUGUUUCUUUUGUUCCUUCGAAGGAAUUUUGAUAUAUGGUGCUUGCAUAUUCCUAUUGAUGAUUGGAAACGGACAUCAUUUCCGGGUCCCUUUCAAGGUGAGAAGUUUGUUCCAAAAUGACACUGUCAAGUGUUAAGGGUGACUCUGAUGCACUAAUUUGGAUAUUUACGUAUUGUAUUAUGUAUAGUGGUAUCCUUUCUUGAUA